rnacentral:rRNA from 1 species
GAUGAACGCUGGCGGCGUGCUUAACACAUGCAAGUCGAACGGAAAGGCCCAAGCUUGCUUGGGUACUCGAGUGGCGAACGGGUGAGUAACACGUGGGUGAUCUGCCCUGCACUUCGGGAUAAGCCUGGGAAACUGGGUCUAAUACCGGAUAGGACCACAUUUUGGAUGGUGUGGCGGAAAGUUUUUCGGUGUGGGAUGAGCUCGCGGCCUAUCAGCUUGUUGGUGGGGUAAUGGCCUACCAAGGCGUCGACGGGUAGCCGGCCUGAGAGGGUGUACGGCCACAUUGGGACUGAGAUACGGCCCAGACUCCUACGGGAGGCAGCAGUGGGGAAUAUUGCACAAUGGGCGCAAGCCUGAUGCAGCGACGCCGCGUGGGGGAUGACGGCCUUCGGGUUGUAAACUCCUUUCGCUAGGGACGAAGCGUUAUGUGACGGUACCUGGAGAAGAAGCACCGGCUAACUACGUG